GAGAGGGUGAUGAGGAGAGAAAGACAGAAAGGGUACAUAGAUAGUGUACCACUGACCUGUACUGACACCUAGAACACUUUCCCCUAUCUGGAGGAUAAAUAUUUCAUAUGUACAGCUUUUUUAAGUAUAGAAAGAAAGUAAGAGAUGGGAAGUAUUGGAGACAGUAAGAGAUGUGAAGUAUAGGAGACAGUAAGAGAUGUGAAGUAUAGGAGACAGUCAGAGAUGUGAAGUAUAGGAGACAGUCAGAGAUGUGAAGUAUUGGAGACAGUCAGAGAUGUGAAGUAUAGGAGACAGUAAGAGAUGCGAAGUAUAGGAGACAGUAAGAGAUGUGAAGUAUAGGAGACAGUAAGAGAUGUGAAGUAUAGGAGACAGUCAGAGAUGUGAAUUAUAGGAGACAGUAAGAGAUGUGAAGUAUAGGAGACAGUCAGAGAUGUGAAGUAUAGGAGACAGUAAGAGAUGUGAAGUAUAGGAGACAGUCAGAGAUGUGAAGUAUAGGAGACAGUCAGAGAUGUGAAGUAUAGGAGACAGUAAGAGAUGUGAAGUAUAGGAGACAGUCAGAGAUGUGAAGUAUAGGAGACAGUCAGAGAUGUGAAGUAUUGGAGACAGUAAGAGAUGUGAAGUAUAGGAGACAGUAAGAGAUGUGAAGUAUAGGAGACAGUCAGAGAUGUGAAGUAUAGGAGACAGUAAGAGAUGUGAAGUAUAGGAGACAGUCAGAGAUGUGAAGUAUAGGAGACAGUCAGAGAUGUGAAGUAUAGGAGACAGUAAGAGAUGUGAAGUAUAGGAGACAGUCAGAGAUGUGAAGUAUAGGAGACAGUCAGAGAUGUGAAGUAUAGGAGACAGUCAAAGAUGUGAAGUAUAGGAGACAGUCAGAUAUGUGAAAUAUAUGAGACAGUAAGAGAUGUGAAGUAUAGGAGACAGUCAAAGAUGUGAAGUAUAGGAGACAGUAAGAGAUGUGAAGUAUAGGAGACAGUCAGAGAUGUGAAGUAUAGGAGACAGUCAGAGAUGUGAAGUAUAGGAGACAGUCAGAGAUGUGAAGUAUAGGAGACAGUAAGAGAUGUGAAGUAUAGGAGACAGUAAGAGAUGUGAAGUAUAGGAGACAGUAAGAGAUGUGAAGUAUAGGAGACAGUCAGAGAUGUGAAGUAUAGGAGACAGUAAGAGAUGUGAAGUAUAGGAGACAGUAAGAGAUGUGAAGUAUAGGAGACAGUAAGAGAUGUGAAGUAUAGGAGACAGUAAGAGCCACUUAUGUGCAGUCAGUAGGGGGCAGCACUGUUCUCUACUGUACCUGUUAGUGGGAGGGCUCUUUGGCUUCUUCUGUACUUUCCUGGCUUGUCCUGGAGACUCACC
rnacentral:lncRNA from 1 species